ACUCCUACGGGAGGCAGCAGUGGGGAAUAUUGCACAAUGGGCGCAAGCCUGAUGCAGCCAUGCCGCGUGUAUGAAGAAGGCCUUCGGGUUGUAAAGUACUUUCAGCGAGGAGGAAGGCAUUGUGGUUAAUAACCGCAGUGAUGACGUACUCGCAGAGAGACC
rnacentral:rRNA from 1 species